rnacentral:rRNA from 1 species
AUGGUCGAUCCGCCCCCAUCUUGCUGUUGUGCGCGUCCUGGGGGGCCAACCGCCGUCCUCGUCGGCAGGGCGCAGAGGGGGGAAGAGGAAGGUUGCCGCUGCGCGAGGCGCGGCCUGAGGCAACCGCCCCCAUCCUGGCCAGAGCGCACGCCUGGGACUGUGCUUCGAAGGUGUAGGAUAGGGAGCGAGAUUUGCCUGCGCCUACGGAGACGGGAGGAAGGAGCAGAGAGGAUGCAGAGGCCCGACAGAUCAACCAGCAGCAGAGGGUGGGUGGGUUGGAAGCCCUCUCUCUGGGAUGGGAUUACUUCUCUCCCUUUGCGGAGGCCAGCAGAUAUCAUACACGAGUUCGUUGUUGCCUAA